rnacentral:rRNA from 1 species
GACGAACGCUGGCGGCGUGCUUAACACAUGCAAGUCGUACGGUAAGGCCCUUUCGGGGGUACACGAGUGGCGAACGGGUGCGUAACACGUGAGUAACCUGCCCACAACUUUGGGAUAACGCUAGGAACCUGGUGCUAAUACUGGAUAUGUGCUCCUGCUGCAUGGUGGGGGUUGGAAAGCUCCGGCGGUUGUGGAUGGACUCGCGGCCUAUCAGCUUGUUGGUGGGGUAGUGGCCUACCAAGGCGGCGACGGGUAGCCGGCCUGAGAGGGUGACCGGCCACAUUGGGACUGGGAUACGGCCCAGACGCCUACGGGAGGCAGCAGUGGGGAAUAGUGCACAAUGGGCGCAAGCCGGAUGCAGCAACGCCGCGUGCGGGAUGACGGCCUUCGGGUUGUAAACCGCUUUCAGCAGGGACGAAGCUUUUUGUGACGGUACCUGCAGAAGAAGCACCGGCUAACUACG